rnacentral:piRNA from 1 species
AGCCGGAGGGGGAUCUGUGAGGGAUCCUG